GGUCGGAGCGUCGGUUUUAAAUAUGAGAGCGGUUUAUUCAUCCUCCGUACAAACAACGAGGACGUGACACGAGGACGUGACACGAGGAAGUGACACGAGGCGACACAUGGAGGUGACCACGAGACCUUCACAGACGCCCUGUUACUGAUGGAUCUGCAGGUUUUCAAUUCAGAAGAAUAUUUAUGUUUAAUGAUUAACAGGUCGGUUUUCUAAAGAACCCCUUUUU